AUGAAUUUUUGUGGAGCUAAAUUAUUUUCUGACCUGACCUCUGUGUGUUUUAGCUCUGAGAAUCUCACCCGUGAUGGUAAAGGCAAUCAUGAAAAGCCAUCUGUGUCACAGAAGGCAGGAAAAAGUGUGUACCAUGAUAUGAUCCCAUCCACAAGAGAAAAUUUCCGUUCAUCCAGCUUUAAUCUGAUCUCCCAGACAAUGAAGAAGCACAAUAGCAAAAGUGUCUCCAAGUCUGCAGAGAAGACAUUUCAGUAUUUAAAAGGUCCUGAUCGUAGUACAAAGAGCAACUCAAAAAAGGAAGAAAGGAAAAUGAAGGAGAGGCUCCCCUCAAAAAGCACAAGGCCCAAGAAAACCAGGACAACAAGCCCAGAAGAAGAGUAAAAGAUAGUAAAGAAGAGCUGGGAAGGUUAAAUCCUGCCAGGCACAAGAAACACCACAGUUCUCUGUGCCAUAACUGCCUGAAACAAAGAAGACACAACAUGCUGCAAAAUACCGGGGUAUAUUUUGCAGCCCCAGUUCUUUAGCCAAGGAAGGCACAUGAAAUUGGCAUGUAUCUGAUUUGCUUAAACAAUUCCCAAGACUUUGGUUAUGGGUUAUGACUCUACCAGUGAGGGAGAUACCUGCAAAUAUCAAAGUUCUUCUUGCUCUUUUUUUUUUUUUCUGAAAAAAUAGUUCACACACAUUGGCUAAUGUACACACGGAGUUUCUCUCGCCACAUGAAGUAUCCCAAAUUCUAAACCAGUUUAGUAGGGAAUCUCUUUUUAAUAUAAAGUAUCGUUUGUCUUAAUAUAUACUGGUUUUGUGAGGCAGACUCCACCUCCAGAAAGAGCUCUGUGAAGAGCUAAGGCCAGCAACCUUCUCAUGACACCUACAGAAGAAAAGCAUAGAGCUUCAUUUCACUGAGAUUUAUUUAUUUUUAGUUGUCAGCAGAUUACAGUUGAGAAAAAAAAAUAGUCAUUUUACGAUUUCAUCUAAAUAAAAGUGAUUUCUAAACAAUGUGGAAAAAUAUG
rnacentral:lncRNA from 1 species